rnacentral:ncRNA from 1 species
UAUAAAGCGUUGAUAGGAAAUAGUAGUAAAGAAGUUAAACUUUAGAGAGUCGAUGGUUGGUGAAAAUCGAUGUUUAGCCUUUACGAAUCCAUCCUGGAGCAAGCUAUUGAAAUAGUAAGUAGAUAGCUUCGGUUCAUUCCGUUAUCUGACUGAAGAGGAAGGUUUAUUUAUGAGCCUUCAACUAGGGUGGCAACGCGGGCUAAACUCUCGUCCCUUUU